AACGCUAGCGGCAGGCUUAACACAUGCAAGUCGAGGGGCAGCGGGAGUAGCAAUACUUGCCGGCGACCGGCGCAAGGGUGCGUAACGCGUGAGCAACAUGCCCGUAUCAGGGGGAUAAUCCAGGGAAACUUGGUCUAAUACCGCAUAAUGAUUCCGGAAGGCAUCUUUUGGGAUUUAAAAUUUCGAUGGAUACGGAUUGGCUCGCGUGACAUUAGCUGGAUGGAGAGGUAACGGCUCACCAUGGCUACGAUGUCUAGGGGUUCUGAGAGGAAGGCCCCCCACACUGGGACUGAGACACGGCCCAGACUCCUACGGGAGGCAGCAGUGAGGAAUAUUGGACAAUGGAUGGAAAUCUGAUCCAGCCAUGCCGCGUGCAGGAAGACAGCCCUAUGGGUUGUAAACUGCUUUUAUAUGGGAGCAAUAAGGUCUACGUGUAGACUGAUGAGAGUACCAUAUGAAUAAGCAUCGGCUAACUCCGUG
rnacentral:rRNA from 1 species